rnacentral:sRNA from 1 species
GUCAGAAGUAUGUUGUGCGUGUGUGUGGCGUGGAAUCCACAAGGUAUUUGUGCGGGAUUCUACCCUGUUCGAUCCCGAUGCGCGCGCUCACGAUUGUGUCGAACCGUAACCCACUAUAGACGGUUCCGGGCAUUUC